UGAGUAAGUCAGAUGGUUGCGGGAGAAUUGUUUCUCACGAGGAAAGUCCGGGCUUCGCAGGGCAAGGGUGCCGGGUAACUCCCGGUGGAGGCGACUCUAAGGACAGUGCAACAGAAAUAGACUUCCUGCAUAGCUUUCUGUAAAGAUUGAAUUGUACAAUAUGUGCCUGUGCAGGUAAAGGUGGAAAGGCGAGGUAAGAGCUCACCGGCGCUGCGGCGACGCUGCGGCCAUGUAAACCCCAUCCGAAGCAACACCGUAUUGGCUUACGCAGGCUUAGCCGGCCCGGCAUGCCUGUGUUUGGCGGUGGCUUGAGCCGUGCAGUAAUGUGCGGCCUAGACAGAUAAUCAUCAAAUACAGAACCCGGCUUACAGAUUUGCUCAACAA
rnacentral:RNase_P_RNA from 1 species